rnacentral:tRNA from 1 species
GAGAGCCUAGUAAACAUAUUACAUGACUUUGUCAUAGUCAAGUCACAGCAUCUGUGGCUCCCA